rnacentral:rRNA from 1 species
UGCAGUCGUACGGGAGUUUUUAACUCAAGUGGCGGACGGGUGAGUAACACGUAAGAAUUUACCUUUAGGAGGGGGAUAACAACUGGAAACGGUUGCUAAUACCCCAUAUGCUUUCGAGUGAAAUGGAUUUUCCGCCUAAAGAGAAGCUUGCGGCUGAUUAGCUUGUUGGUGAGGUAAUGGCUCACCAAGGCGACGAUCAGUAUCUGGUUUGAGAGGAUGAUCAGACACACUGGAACUGAGACACGGUCCAGACUCCUACGGGAGGCAGCAGUGGGGAAUUUUCCGCAAUGGGCGAAAGCCUGACGGAGCAAUACCGCGUGAGGGAUGACGGCCUAUGGGUUGUAAACCUCUUUUUUCAGGGAGGAAUCAAUGACGUGUACCUGAAGAAUAAGCAUCGGCUAACUCCGUGCCAGCAGCCGCGGUAAGACGGAGGAUGCAAGUGUUAUCCGGAAUCACUGGGCGUAAAGCGUCUGUAGGUGGUUUAAUAAGUCAACUGUUAAAUCUUGAGGCCCAACCUCAAAAUCGCAGUCGAAACUAUUAGACUAGAGUAUAGUAGGGGUAAAGGGAAUUUCCAGUGGAGCGGUGAAAUGCGUAGAGAUUGGAAAGAACACCGAUGGCGAAGGCACUUUACUGAGCUAUUACUAACACUCAGAGACGAAAGCUAGGGUAGCAAAUGGGAUUAGAUACCCCAGUAGUCCUAGCUGUAAACAAUGGAUACUAGAUGUUGAACAGAUCGACCUGUGCAGUAUUAAAGCUAACGCGUUAAGUAUCCCGCCUGGGAAGUAUGCUCGCAAGANUGAARCUCAAAGGAAUUGACGGGGGCCCGCACAAGCGG